GGGGACGUUACGGAUUCGACAGGGAUAGGUCGAGCUUGAGUUGCGAGCCGGGGGGAUCGGCCCCGUCAUCAACGUCAAAGCCAAUAAUAACUGGCAAACAAAACAACAAUUUAGCUUUCGCUGCCUAAUAGCAGUCUGAAUAGCUGAUCCUCCGUGCAUCACCCAUGUGCUACGGUAAGGGUCUCACUUUUAAGUGGGUUACGCUCGCUUGUCUCCGUCUGGGGCAAACGAGAAGAGCAUAAUCAGACUAGCUAGAUAGACGCCUGUCGCCGGGCAGACAUCUAUGCGAAAUCCAAAUACGGCAACUACGCUCGUAGAUGCUCAAGUGCCGAUAUUUCUGGACGUGGGUUCGACUCCCACCGUCUCCAUCU
rfam:Listeria grayi DSM 20601 genomic scaffold SCAFFOLD2, whole genome shotgun sequence.